GGCAGCCUAAAGGGGGCGCGGGUCUCGCAACACAAUUUUUCGGUGGCCUCCCAGUGCGGUGGCUGGUGGCCGCACCGACCGUUUCCCCUAAAAUACUUGAUUGACUUCAGGAAAAGUAAUUAUAAAGACCUAUUCUUGUUUUAUUACAAAACCUUCUCAAAGCUGUGUAAUAAAAUGAAGGGUGAAGUCCCCAGCUAAACAGGCUGAUGUUUGCUGCCUCCAAAGAGACAGAGCACACUGAAUAACUUCUGGGAUUCAAAUUGCCAACAGACAUAUUGAAAAAGGAUAUAAUUUAAUCUACCACAGAGUUGAAGAAUCUGGCAAAUAGCUGCAAAAUAAAAACAAUCUGGAUGCAGAAGAGAGGACCAGCUGCAAUUAAAGCUGUUUGCUAGGAUUAGUGAGCUCAUUUCUAACAUCUCAAAGAAUCCAAUGUCAAAUUGGAUUUAAAAAUAACCCUUCCAAAACACAUUUAGUAUCUUACCUCGGAAGCCUGAUAAUCAGACCUUGACACAACUCCUCAUAAUACAAUAUCGUUAUGAGCAAGAAUAAGAUACCACCUACUAUGCUAUAAAGGAAACAGUUUGCAGUGUUAUCUGUUCUUCAACUGGAAAAACCGUAAAGGAUGCCAACCUUCAAUUAACAUUUUAAAAUUCUGGACACAAAUUGUUCCUGGCAGUGCUUGAAAUCUACAGGAACGUAUGCACAUUUUGGGAUUGUGCUCAGGUGAAAGCAUAUUGGGAAACUAUAUUUGCUUAAACGCCACAUUUUUAAAGGUAAACAUGGAAAUAUUAGCUUGUGUAUUGAGCCUCUCCCACACACAGCUCAAAGGGAGAUUUAAAAUGCUCAGGUUUAUUCAUUGCUAAGAAGAUACUAUAGACACUGGAAAUAUAUCACGAAUUACUGUACCUGAAUAGACAUGGCCCUCUAAAAUGCACUUCUUAUAAGAGACUUUUCUUGGACACAUCUAAUAAAAGCAAUGAUUUUUUUCUAAAAUACUGAAAGUCAAAAUUUUGAAAACACAUCCUUCCUUCUCUCUCCCACCUACACUUUACCUUUGUUUUGCCUAUCCCAUCCCACUCUUUCCCAUCUUCACUUUAGUUUCCUUUACUUCAACCAUAUAAUUACAUUAUGGUUGUGCUAUCCUCCUGCAGGAGUAAAUGUCUCUCUAUUUUCUAAGCUGUUUGUGCAUGGAUUAGUUACAUUUUGGAGGAAGGAGGCAAUAUUGAAUUCAAAUCUGUAUUUUAAAAAUCUUUCAGACUUCAGCUUCAAAAUACACUUAAAACAAUGUGUAAAUGAAAGGAAUACACAGAAAAUAUAUCACAAAAAAAAGAGUAUGUGUAGCCUCCAUUUCUAUUAUACUCUGGCCAGUCAACAGCAAGCAUACAACAAAAAGAUUGUUUUAAUAUUUACAGCAACAUUAAAAUAUAUUCUAAUAUGUCUCAAUGCUUUGUGGAGCUACUGUAUUAUCAGAAGGUGAGUGCCUAUACUACGAGUACAAUGUAGCUAUUCUAAUAGCAGUACUAAAGGGCAUUACAGAACUAGGGAAAAGCAGGUGUGUGUGGUGAGAUAAGCCUGGAUGCACUCAAACUUGAUGCAUCAUUAAUGAAGUGCAACUUAGGCGAACACUUCAGGGAGAAACCGGAACUUGAGAUAAUCUGCCCUUCCUUCCUUUUCAAUUUUUUUUU